AUUGAACGCUGGCGGCAUGCUUUACACAUGCAAGUCGAACGGUAACAGGCCGCAAGGUGCUGACGAGUGGCGAACGGGUGAGUAAUGCAUCGGAACGUGCCCAGUCGUGGGGGAUAACGCAGCGAAAGCUGUGCUAAUCCCGCAUACGAUCUAUGGAUGAAAGCGGGGGACCGUAAGGCCUCGUGCGAUUGGAGCGGGCGAUGUCAGAUUAGGGAGUUGGUGGGGUAAAGGCCUACCAAGCCGACGAUCUGUAGCUGGUCUGAGAGGACGACCAGCCACACUGGGACUGAGACACGGCCCAGACUCCUACGGGAGGCAGCAGUGGGGAAUUUUGGACAAUGGGCGCAAGCCUGAUCCAGCAAUGCCGCGUGCAGGAAGAAGGCCUUCGGGUUGUAAACUGCUUUUGUACGGAACGAAACGGCCUGGGUUAAUACCCUGGGCUAAUGACGGUACCGUAAGAAUAAGCACCGGCUAACUACGUGCCAGCCGCCGCCGUAACAC
rnacentral:rRNA from 1 species